UCAAUAGAGAGGCAUUACACAGAGCGGUGGAACCAAACUGAUGUUCUCACAGUGGCCUUUGUUGCUAAGCAGAUGGGCUGCAAUGUUUUGUACCAGUUGGAAGUUUUCAGGGCAUAUGGCUUCAUUCCUAUGUAUAAUAAAUUGUAAUAAUCAAGACUUGAGGUCACAAAUAGCCUAGGUUACCAGGGCUAUGGUUAGGUUUAAUCAGUUGUGGUGCCAACCACAGAUGAGUGUUGUUUGCUUUAUGAUUAUUUAAGGGCAUCCAAUACUAUUCAGGAAGCCAAAAGCAUCCCAAGGCGUUUGACUGACAACUAUCUGAGAAUAAGUGCCUUCGAUACUGAGGAAUGUAAUCCAAGAGGAUUAUGACAAGAAUAGAAGACAGGGUGCUACGUAAGACUGAUUAGGCAGACCACAGCGCAAUUUCAGAAAGAAUGCUGAAGGACUGUCUCCCACCAAGCAGGACUUUAUUGGUUAUUCAACAUAUUCAACUUCCUGAAGGUCUUCAUCCCUUAAACAUUGUUGAUAAGAAUGCUGUGGCUUGACUUGACUGGAUUGCGUAUGCCAAAUAAAAUAAAUA